rnacentral:tmRNA from 1 species
GGGGGCGAUCGGCUUCGACCGGGCAGGUUGAGGUCUGGGUGGCGUGUCGAGAUCGUCAGGUACCUCGUGAACUACCUGGCAAACUGUUAGAUGCCAACGAUUCCUAUCGUCUGGCUGCCUAGCACACGCUAGGCCCUGUCGCGUCCCGAACGCCUGCUACGGGACGCGGCAAAGACAGCAGGCUGGCUGUGGCGCUCCCGUCGGGUGGCGUCGCGGCGAGAUGCAGCCCGGCUCGGUGCGUGGGUGACCUGUCGGCGGGUCUGCUACGCACUCAGAGUUGUCGAGUUCACCGGACACACACGUAGAGGCCCAGGCUGAAAUGCUUCGGGACGCGGGUUCGAUUCCCGCCGCCUCCAUCG